rnacentral:rRNA from 1 species
UACGUAGGGUGCAAGCGUUGUCCGGAAUUAUUGGGCGUAAAGAGCUCGUAGGCGGUCUGUUACGUCUGCUGUGAAAACCCGGGGCUUAACCCUGGGCUUGCAGUGGAUACGGGCAGACUAGAGGCAGGUAGGGGAGAAUGGAAUUCCCGGUGUAGCGGUGAAAUGCGCAGAUAUCAGGAGGAACACCGAUGGCGAAGGCAGGUCUCUGGGCAUUAACUGACGCUGAGGAACGAAAGCAUGGGGAGCGAACAGG